rnacentral:rRNA from 1 species
UACGUAGGGGGCUAGCGUUGUCCGGAAUCAUUGGGCGUAAAGAGCGUGUAGGCGGCUCGGUAAGUCCGCUCUGAAAGCCCGGGGGCUCAACCCCCGGGAGGCGGGCGGAUACUGUCGGGCUAGAGUCCGGAAGAGGCGAGUGGAAUUCCUGGUGUAGCGGUGAAAUGCGCAGAUAUCAGGAGGAACACCAAUAGCGAAGGCAGCUCGCUGGGACGGUACUGACGCUGAGACGCGAAAGCGUGGGGAGCAAACAGG